AUCCUUUUAUAGUUCAUAAGUGUGAUGACUGGGUUUUCAUGUACAUGUAUGAAAUGUGCCUCCCUCAAACCUUGUUAGGAUGUUGGCACAUUACCUGUCUGAUG
ensembl:snoRNA